CGUGUAGGCUGCUUGGAAAGUCGGAUGUGAAAGCCCUGGGCUCAACCUAGGAAGUGCAUUCGAAACUUCCAAGCUCGAGUUUCGGAGAGGAAGGCGGAAUUCUCGGUGUAGAGGUGAAAUUCGUAGAUAUCGAGAGGAACACCGGUGGCGAAGGCGGCCUUCUGGACGAUGACUGACGCUGAGACGCGAAAGCGUGGGGAGCAAACA
rnacentral:rRNA from 1 species